rnacentral:rRNA from 1 species
AGUGAACGCUGGCGGUAGGCCUAACACAUGCAAGUCGAACGGCAGCACAGUAAGAGCUUGCUCUUACGGGUGGCGAGUGGCGGACGGGUGAGGAAUACAUCGGAAUCUACUUUUUCGUGGGGGAUAACGUAGGGAAACUUACGCUAAUACCGCAUACGACCUACGGGUGAAAGCAGGGGAUCUUCGGACCUUGCGCGAUUGAAUGAGCCGAUGUCGGAUUAGCUAGUUGGCGGGGUAAAGGCCCACCAAGGCGACGAUCCGUAGCUGGUCUGAGAGGAUGAUCAGCCACACUGGAACUGAGACACGGUCCAGACUCCUACGGGAGGCAGCAGUGGGGAAUAUUUGGCAAUGGGCGCAAGCCUGAUCCAGCCAUACCGCGUGGGUGAAGAAGGCCUUCGGGUUGUAAAGCCCUUUUGUUGGGAAAGAAAAGCAGCAGGUUAAUACCCCGCUGUUCUGACGGUACCCAAAGAAUAAGCACCGGCUAACUUCGUG